AAUAAAAAAAGGAUGCUCUUAAUUGACUCUGCAGUUGAAUAGAACUGUCUGAGAAGAUGGAAGAAAAUAUAGGAACAGUAAUGAGAUUAUGUCAUUCAUAAAUCACGAGAAUGGAAAGGAAGUUUUAUUGGAUUUCCAUGGCAAGGUUUUGGUAGCACAAGGGCUGUAGGGGUCGCCUCUGUGAGCCAAGCCCAGCAGCUGCCCCCUGUCAGAUCAGAGCCAGCUCCAGCUGGUUCCAAAAGGGACCCACUGCUGACCAGAGCCAAGAAAGUGAGUAACAUUGUUUGGGCCUCUGGGAGAGCAGAUUUAAGGAAGGAAAAAAACUGCUGUGCAACAGCAUCUGGGAGUGAGAAGUGAGAAACAGCCCUGCGGACACCAAGGUCAGGUGUCUCCUGACAAGGUUUCUGAAAAAAGGGUUUCUACCCUUUCUCUUUGAGGAGGGGGAGUUAGAGAGUGGUUGUGGUAGAUUUCAGCUGUGUAGCAGAGUAAAACAACUGCAGACAGGAAAGCAUAAUAAAACGACAGGAAAGCAUAAUAAAACCAAGAUAUUUUUUAAGAAAGCUGUGUAAUCGUUGUUGUUGGAAGUGUAAGAAAAAUGUUGGCAAAUAUCCAUCAGGCAACACUAUGCUGUUGCAGAACUUUGAGGUAGAGUCGAAGACUCUCUCAGUUCCCUUCUAGUCCUAUUUGUGUGUUUAUAGGAUUUGUGACUUCUGCAAUGAAAUACUGUAGCCUCAACUAGUAUUCUUAUUGACAUGUUUCCAGAUUGUGAGGCUUCACAAAUUGGGAUCAGUCUGGCAGCAGUCAUUUUAGGUGGUUACACACUUUUUCUGUGAAUUAUGUCCUUGGAGUACGAGGCAUACUUGUUCUUUACACACAACCUGACACUUUAUUUUCUUCAUAGUGCUUUUUCAUAAAGCUUUUCAGACUUAAAAUUCACUGAUUUUUCCUCAUUUCUAUAUCAUUUUGUUAUUUAUAGACAGAUCUGUUUAAAGGAUGCACGUAAUGUUAUCAAGUGUCAGUCAAGAAUACUAUAUCGGAAAGCUGAUUUUUCAGUUACAGUUAGCAAAAGGUUAUAAUGUCCAAAUCUGUUCUCUGAAUUGGAGGCUUCCAUGUCAAGAGGCCUUGGAUACUCUUGGCAUUUCAAAUUGCACCUGACACUUAAGCACGAUCAAAUUAUUUGAGUCACAGCACUAUAAAUUUAUUGGAUAUAAACAAGAACCAUUUGAGAUAACCUAUAGAACCUAUUCCAUCAGCAGCUGGAGGUGGAGGGAGGAUACCUUAGCAUAUCUACAUAUGGUUAAGUAAGUAUAUUGAGUCCUAUUUGUUAAGCAUAGACUUGUGUCUACAAAGUGUCUGAACUAGCAUUGCAGUUAUGCACAUCUAACCAAUACAGAUAACAGAACUAGAGAGCUGAUUCAGUUCAG
rnacentral:lncRNA from 1 species